UACGUAGGUGGCAAGCGUUGUCCGGAAUUAUUGGGCGUAAAGCGCGCGCAGGCGGUUUCUUAAGUCUGAUGUGAAAGCCCCCGGCUCAACCGGGGAGGGUCAUUGGAAACUGGGAAACUUGAGUGCAGAAGAGGAAAGUGGAAUUCCAAGUGUAGCGGUGAAAUGCGUAGAGAUUUGGAGGAACACCAGUGGCGAAGGCGACUUUCUGGUCGGUAACUGACGCUGAGGCGCGAAAGCGUGGGGAGCAAACAGG
rnacentral:rRNA from 1 species